UACGGGGGGAGCAAUCGUUGUUCGGAUUUACUGGACGUAAAGGGCGCGUAGGCGGUAGCACAAGUCAGUUGUGAAAUCUCCGGGCUUAACUCGGAAAGGUCAACUGAUACUGUGCGACUAGAGUGCAGAAGGGGCAACUGGAAUUCUCGGUGUAGCGGUGAAAUGCGUAGAUAUCGAGAGGAACACCUGCGGCGAAGGCGGGUUGCUGGGCUGACACUGACGCUGAGGCGCGAAAGCCAGGGGAGCAAACAGG
rnacentral:rRNA from 1 species